GAUCCUGGCUCAGGAUGAACGCUAGCUACAGGCUUAACACAUGCAAGUCGAGGGGCAGCGAUGGUCUUAGCUUGCUAAGGCCGAUGGCGACCGGCGCACGGGUGAGUAACACGUAUCCAACCUGCCGUCUACUCUUGGACAGCCUUCUGAAAGGAAGAUUAAUACAAGAUGGCAUCAUGAGUCCGCAUGUUCACAUGAUUAAAGGUAUUCCGGUAGACGAUGGGGAUGCG
rnacentral:rRNA from 1 species